rnacentral:lncRNA from 1 species
CUGGCGGCGGCGGCGGGGGCUGGAGGCGCGCCGAGUCUCUGCGGCUGCUCGUACGGCCGCCUUUCUGCGCGGCGACCUCCCCGGCCCCCUGCCCGCAGCGGGGAGGCAGUCGCCCAGCCGGCGCUGAGACGCGCCCCGCCCGGAGGUGAUCCCCCACGGAGCACUGCGGAGUGCGUGCCGUCGGGGACAGCUGCGCUGGCUCGGAGCGAGGGAACCCUGCACGGGACCUGGGGACGUUCCGCGCGCAGUUCCAAGCGCGUCUGGAGUUGGGGGACAGAGGGGCGCAGCGGUCUCAAACCCCUCGCGCGGAGGGGCGACCGUCCCGAUCCCCAGGAGAUCUGGUCCCACGGCAGAGGCCAGUGACGCGGUCUUUCCCGGGAGCUGCUGCAGGAGUCGCAAGGCAGGGAUAGCUCAGACUGCAAGAGGAGCCUCGAGGAGAAGGUUGCUUCCAGAGGCUUCACUCCCUGCGCUUCACCUCCGAGCCCAGGAGGUCCCCGGGGCCAAGGAGCGCACCGGCGGAGAAAGAGGACUCCAUCCAGUCGGAGACAAACAGAGGUCAUCUGGGGGACUUCGCGGAGGGCGCUCGCAGCCUCCCCCCUGCCCGGGCGGCGCCCGGCCCGCAUGCUACGAAGCGCUUUCGGCUCGGGCAGCCGCGCGUCUCUCCAGGAACCAACGUGGAGGGGCCCUCGCCAGGUGGUCGGUCUCUGGUCUCAAGUCCCUUUUAACCGCCCUUCCCUGCCCGCCUAGAUCGCGGAGGCCCCACAUUCCUGGCAAGACCUCUCCAGGGCUUCCGGAGGCGGGUCCCAGACUGAGAGAGCGGUUCCAUACUGGGGGGGAGGAUGGGGGGAUGUCCCCGCGAACUGCUGGACGGAGGAAGAUAACACGCCAGCGGCGCGAAGUCCGAGACGGGGGUCUGAUGGCGCCGCGGCCUUGCUCCGGGAGCCGCGACUGGCCUGUUCUCUAUUCCACAUCGCUCGUGCUGCCCUCCUUGCCUUCAUCCUGCGUCUCCCACUAGCUGGACCGAUCCAUCUGCCGACACGUUGGCCCAGUUCCAGGCGGCUCCGGGUCCGGGCGCUCUCACGAGCUGCCCCCCCCCAAACCCUCCAACCCCGGAAGCCCCAGACCCCAGGCAUCCUGAAGCCAGCGGCUCGGUUCGGGGGUUAAGGCCCAACGCCCCGCGGGUUUCCCUGAAAUAGCAAACUUCUGCCGGAAGGGGGCGCCCUUGCCUUUUUAAUAGUCCACAAACGCACAUUGGUAGCGAAAUAAAUCUCUAAAAUUCCAAA